GGAAAAUAAAAAAAAAAUUUAAAAAUGGAUCAUUUUUAUUUCAUAUGCCUUCCACACGGAUGUGUUUGGUAGAAAGUUAACAUUUAACCUCUUAAAAAGACAUAACUAUUAAUGAGUUAAAAAGUUAAUCUAAUCUUUUUAAAUAUUUAAACGCCUCUUUAAUAUAAAUUUGAAUUUAAUAAAUGUAUUAUUUUUAAUUGCAUUUCUUAUUUUAAUGGCUCCUUUCAAAUGAGAAAACGUUUUAGGAAGAUUUUCAUAGGAUUAAUU
rnacentral:misc_RNA from 1 species